GCCGGAAUGGCGGAAUUGGCAGACGCACGGGACUCAAAAUCCCGCGCCCGCAAGGGCAUGACGGUUCGACCCCGUCUUCCGGCA
rnacentral:tRNA from 1 species